rnacentral:snRNA from 1 species
GUACUUGCUUCGGAAGUACAUAUAAUAAAAUUGGAACGACAGAGAAGAUUAGCAUGGCCCCUGCGUAAGGAUGACGCGCAAAAUCGUGAAGCGUUCCACAUUUUU